ACAGACAUAUAUGUAGGUGAAACAUCAA
rnacentral:piRNA from 1 species